GCCUGGGUGGCUCAGUGCGUUAAGCGUCUGACUUCAGCUCAGGUCAAGAUCUCAUGGUUGUGGGUUCGAGCCCCACAUCAGGCU
rnacentral:tRNA from 1 species